rnacentral:tRNA from 1 species
GGGGGUGUAACUCAGUGGUACAGUGCAGGCCUAGCAUGCGUGAGGUCCUGGGUUCAAAUCCUAGUACCUCCA